rnacentral:lncRNA from 1 species
UUUUUUUUUUGCAGGUAAUAUGGUGUACAAAUGGUGCAGUGUGUGUCAGGUUCAAAAGGGAAAGAGAAAAGAACAGAGCUUUCUUCAAGUACAGGGUAGUAUUAGUAUUUAUCUCAGUCCUUCUGGUGAUUGUUUUUUGGGGGAUUAAACAUAUGGGGUGCAAUGCAAGUACAAUGUGUAGUGCAAUCAUCAAUUGAUAAAACAAAAGUAAAAAGUAAAAAAAAAAUACAACACAUGUUGUUGAGAACUUGAAAUGCAAGCCCAGAUGCAUCCACCCUUUGGCAAGAGUGGAAGGUCAUUAGCAUCAACAAUAUUUUUCACAAGAAAAAAUUAGCAUCAACAAUUUGCAAGGGGCACCAGACAGAGACUCAUCAUUUGGCAAGAACAGAUGUCAGUCAUUAGCUUGGCAUCAUGUAAGAAAAUGGCCAUGAUGUGCCCUGAUAAUGAUGUGUUCUGUCAUAAAAAAAUUAGUGGAGUGCCCUGAUGAUGACAUGGUCCUGUGUUUGCAAGGUGCCAUAUUGUUUUCAUUCAAAACCAAUGGAAAAACACUCAUCCAAGUUUCCAGAAUAGCAGCACAUUUGCAGAAUGAACCAAAACAAAGUUCCUUUGUACUAGAGUGAAAGAAGAAGCACCAGGCAGAUUGCACCAGAAGUUUUUAUUUUCACUCUACACAAUCACAUUUUCGACAUAAAUCACGAAGCAUGACUGCUAGAGAUUUUUCAGGGAGGACAGGGCGAUGAACAAGGAACCAUAUCACCAUCAGUUACAAUUGUCUUUCUUCCAAGCAAAAGAAUUUAACAACACAUUAACAGAGCUGCUAGCACACUCCCUCUACCACUAUGUCAACAUCAUCAUAAUCAUCAUGCAUCAAAGGGGCAGAGCACCGGAUUAACAGUGUCACUGAGACAUGAACAAGAAAGAAAAAACAAGAAAAAUAGAAGAACAAAUCAUACCCUCUCACAAGCACAACGCACCACAACAAUGGUAGCAAGAAAUCUUUCCAACCAACCAACCAUGAAAUGUAUCAAUCAU